UCCUUCGAGUGUGGAAUAACCUGCCGAAAGGCGGGCUAAUACCGCAUAAUACUCCUUGAACUGAGGUUUGGGGAUUCAAAGCCGGGGACCGCAAGGCCUGGCGCUUGAAGACGAGCUCGCGCCUGAUUAGCUAGUUGGUGGGGUAAUGGCCUACCAAGGCAAUGAUCAGUAGCCGAUCUGAGAGGAUGACCGGCCACACUGGCACUGAGACACGGGCCAG
rnacentral:rRNA from 1 species